rnacentral:tRNA from 1 species
GGGAUGUUGGUCAAGACGGCUUAAGACACUGCCCUUUCACGGCAGUAACACGGGUUCGAAUCCCGUACAUCCUA